rnacentral:tRNA from 1 species
GGGGCCGUAGCUCAGCUGGGAGAGCACCACACUGGCAGUGUGGGGGUCAGGGGUUCGAGUCCCCUCGGCUCCACCA